rnacentral:rRNA from 1 species
GCCAGCAGCCGCGGUAAUACGUAGGGUGCAAGCGUUAAUCGGAAUUACUGGGCGUAAAGCGUGCGCAGGCGGUUGUGUAAGACAGAUGUGAAAUCCCCGGGCUUAACCUGGGAACUGCAUUUGUGACUGCACGACUAGAGUGCGUCAGAGGGGGGUGGAAUUCCACGUGUAGCAGUGAAAUGCGUAGAUAUGUGGAGGAACACCAAUGGCGAAGGCAGCCCCCUGGGAUGACACUGACGCUCAUGCACGAAAGCAUGGGGAGCAAACAGGAUUAGAUACCCUGGUAGUCCACGCCCUAAACGAUGUCAACUAGUUGUUGGGGAUUUACUUCCUUGGUAACGUAGCUAACGCGUGAAGUUGACCGCCUGGGGAGUACGGCCGCAAGGUUAAAACUCAAAGGAAUUGACGGGGACCCGCACAAGCGGUGGAUGAUGUGGAUUAAUUCGAUGCAACGCGAAAAACCUUACCUACCCUUGACAUGGCAGGAACUUUCCAGAGAUGGAUUGGUGCUCGAAAGAGGACCUGCACACAGGUGCUGCAUGGCUGUCGUCAGCUCGUGUCGUGAGAUGUUGGGUUAAGUCCCGCAACGAGCGCAACCCUUGUCAUUAGUUGCUACGAAAGGGCACUCUAAUGAGACUGCCGGUGACAAACCGGA